AUUGAACGCUUGCGGCAGGCCUAACACAUGCAAGUCGAACGAGUGGCGGCCGGGUGAGUAAUGUCUGGGAAACUGCCCGAUGGAGGGGGAUAACUCCUGGCAACGGUAGCUAAUACCGCAUACCAUCGGAUUUGCCCAGAUUGGAUUAGCUAGUAGGUGGGGUAACGGCUCACCUAGGCGACGAUCCCUAGCUGGUCUGAGAGGAUGACCAGCCACACUGGAAAUGAGACACGGUCCAGACUACUACGGGAGGCAGCAGUGGGGAAUAUUGCACAAUGGGCGCAAGCCGGAUGCAGCAAUGCCGCGUGUAUGAAGAAGGCCUUCGGGUUGUAAAGUACUUUCAGCGAGGAGGCGUUACUCGCAGAAGAAGCACCGGCUAACUCCGUGCCAGCAGCCGCGGUAAUUC
rnacentral:rRNA from 1 species